GACGGUGAAGCAGAGUAUUGCUCUGUGGAUCAGUGGCGAACGGGUGAGUAACACGUGAGCAAUCUGCCCCUGACUCUGGGAUAAGCGCUGGAAACGGCGUCUAAUACCGGAUACGAGCUGCGACCGCAUGGUCAGUAGCUGGAAAGAAUUUCGGUCAGGGAUGAGCUCGCGGCCUAUCAGCUUGUUGGUGAGGUAAUGGCUCACCAAGGCGUCGACGGGUAGCCGGCCUGAGAGGGUGACCGGCCACACUGGGACUGAGACACGGCCCAGACUCCUACGGGAGGCAGCAGUGGGGAAUAUUGCACAAUGGGCGCAAGCCUGAUGCAGCAACGCCGCGUGAGGGAUGACGGCCUUCGGGUUGUAAACCUCUUUUAGCAGGGAAGAAGCGAAAGUGACGGUACCUGCAGAAAAAGCGCCGGCUAACUACGUGCCAGCAGCCGCGGUAAUACGUAGGGCGCAAGCGUUAUCCGGAAUUAUUGGGCGUAAAGAGCUCGUAGGCGGUCUGUCGCGUCUGCUGUGAAAACCCGAGGCUCAACCUCGGGCCUGCAGUGGGUACGGGCAGACUAGAGUGCGGUAGGGGAGAUUGGAAUUCCUGGUGUAGCGGUGGAAUGCGCAGAUAUCAGGAGGAACACCGAUGGCGAAGGCAGAUCUCUGGGCCGUAACUGACGCUGAGGAGCGAAAGGGUGGGGAGCAAACAGGCUUAGAUACCCUGGUAGUCCACCCCGUAAACGUUGGGAACUAGUUGUGGGGUCCAUUCCACGGAUUCCGUGACGCAGCUAACGCAUUAAGUUCCCCGCCUGGGGAGUACGGCCGCAAGGCUAAAACUCAAAGGAAUUGACGGGGACCCGCACAAGCGGCGGAGCAUGCGGAUUAAUUCGAUGCAACGCGAAGAACCUUACCAAGGCUUGACAUAUAGAGGAAACGUCUGGAAACAGUCGCCCCGCAAGGUCUCUAUACAGGUGGUGCAUGGUUGUCGUCAGCUCGUGUCGUGAGAUGUUGGGUUAAGUCCCGCAACGAGCGCAACCCUCGUUCUAUGUUGCCAGCACGUAAUGGUGGGAACUCAUGGGAUACUGCCGGGGUCAACUCGGAAGAAGGUGGGGAUGACGUCAAAUCAUCUUGCCCCUUAAGUCCUGGG
rnacentral:rRNA from 1 species